CGUUGAGGCGGUUCUGUAAGUUGGACGUGAAAGCCCUCGGCUCAACUGGGGGAGGUCGUUCAAUACUGCAGAACUUGAGGGCAGCAGAGGGGGGUGGAAUUUCCGGUGUAGUGGUGAAAUGCGUAGAUAUCGGAAGGAACACCAGUGGCGAAGGCGGCCCCCUGGGCUGCUCCUGACGCUGAAGGCGAAAGCUAGGGGAGCGAACG
rnacentral:rRNA from 1 species